rnacentral:rRNA from 1 species
CCUACGGGAGGCAGCAGCAGGGAAUAUUGUGCAAUGAGCGAAAGCUUGACACAGCGACACCGCGUGUGGGAUGACGGUUCUAGGAUUGUAAACCACUUUCAGGAGGGAAGAAAAUGACGGUACCUCCACAAGAAGACCCGGCCAACUAUGUGCCAGCAGCCGCGGUAAUACAUAGGGGUCAAGCGUUGUCCGGAUUUAUUGGGCGUAAAGAGCUCGUAGGCGGUUCAACAAGUCGGUCGUAAAAGUUUAGGGCUCAACCCUAAAAUGUCGAUCGAUACUGUUGUGACUAGGAUACGGUAGAGGUGAAUGGAAUUCCGAGUGUAGCGGUGAAAUGCGUAGAUAUUCGGAGGAACACCAAUUGCGAAGGCAGUUCACUGGACCGUGAUCGACGCUGAGGAGCGAAAGCUAGGGGAGCAAACAGGAUUAGAUACCCUGGUAGUCCUAGCUGUAAACGAUGGAUACUAGAUGUAGGAACUGGAUUGACGGUUUCUGUAUCGUAGCUAACGCGUUAAGUAUCCCGCCUGGGGAGUACGGUCGCAAGACUAAAACUCAAAUGAAUGACGGAAUCGUCGACUGCAGACACCGUC